GGGGAUGUUCCGGAUUCGAUCUCGGUUCGGAGGUUGCGACGGCACGCGGACGAUGACACUCGGCGUCCUAAAAUAUGUGUCAGCCAAUCAAAUGGCAAAACCAACACCAUCGCGUUCGAGCGCAGCAAUGCGCUCGCGCUUGCCGCCUGAAAGCUGCGGCACGGUCACGCCCGCCUACGCCUGCUAAGCGGCCGGGCUGUCAAAAAAGCAGGUAAAACCUCGCCCUUGUCGGCGUUCCCGUGAGGUUAAACUUGGGAAAGCCGAUAGGCGGUUCCGGGCGCCCUCGCCCCAAGAAACGCCGAAAUCCAAUCGAGCGGCUAAGCGUGUAGAAGUUUCAGCUGAAAGACCGGGAGACGCGGGUUCGACUCCCGCCAUCUCCACCA
rnacentral:tmRNA from 2 species